GGGAGAACAGAGGCCCCAGGCCUUCCUUUUACAGGUCAAGAACAUGCCCCAGACUUUUGAGAGGAAUUUAGCCAGGCUGGCUGCUGUGGAUACAAGCGCCCUGCCCCAAACUACAGGUCUUUAGGUUUGCAGGGAAGUGCCCUGCUAGGAGGUGGGGUUAUUGAUAGACUCUUGGGUCCUGUAUUUUUUGUUUUGGGUUUUUUCAGUUGGUUGGUUUUGGUGUGUGUGUGUGUGUGGGUACAUGUAUGUGCACGGAUGUGUGUGGAGGUCAAAGGAAAAUCUCAGAUGCCAUUUUCAGGUAUCAUUUGCCUUUAGUUUAAUAAAAAAAAUCAUUAAAAUUUUUGUUUUAUGUGUAAAGGUGUUUUGUCGUCACAUUCUGCUGCCUGAGACGAGGCCAGAAGAGGGUGUCAAAUACCUCAGAACCAGAAUCACAAUUGUGAGCUGUCACAUGAGUGCUGGGAACCGAAUCCAGGUCCUUUGGAAUAGAAGCCAGUGUUCUUAACCACGGAGCAACUCUCCAGCCUCCUCCCCACUUUGUUCGCCUUAUUUAGACAAGGUCUCUCACCAAGUAGGCUAAACUCGCUACCAUUGAGCCUCAGAGAUCCAUCUAUCUCUGCCUCCCCGAUUCUGGGAUUACAAGUACAAACUACAUUUAAAAAGUGCUUCCUUGGGUAAGAAGACUUGUGUGACAGGUUCCAGGCCAGCACUUGGGCCAACAGACCAGCCCUGGGAACUACAGACCAGCACUGGUGUUUGUGCUCUCAGAAACAAGGGGCUCUGCUUCACUGACAAGGGAUGGCUGUAGCGAAGGCAACAGAGAUCUGCACUGUGGUUAAUAAUAGGGAAGUCUUUCCAGAGCAGGCUGAUAAGCUGAGCUCUUGUAACUAGGCAACCAGAUAUCAACUGGGCACCAGAACCCACUGGUUUGUUUUGUUGUUGUUGUUGUUUAUUAUUUUGGUUUUAUGUUUUGUUUUUUUUCUUGACUCCCAAAGGAGUGGUGGGUACAGGUGAGCUGGAGGGAUGCUGGGAGGUGCGGGGUGGGGAGUGGGGGAUGGUACCUUCUCUUUAGAGUUUUCCAGAACCCCCUAGUCUUAGAAUGACAACGCUCUGCACUCUGGGGUCAGAGGGGUAAGGGCCUUGUUUGCUUACUUAGCAAAGCUCUAUCAGCCUUUGGCAGUGUGGGCCCAGGGAUUACUGAUUAUCCAAGCCUGUGUCUUUGGUCCCUAGUGACCCUUCCCAGGCCACAGCUGCCAAAACGGCUUCCAAACCCUCCGACUGCUCCAAAGGUGCAGAGAACUGCGCUGUUUGCGUUUUCUAUGCCCUGUGCUCUGUGAGCGUGGCUGUGUGAUGGGCUCCAGGGCUCCGGGGCAAAGGCUUUGGUUCCUCGCUUUGUUCCCAGUCUGCUGGAGGACUCUGAGUGCCAGACUGCGUGACCUAUUGGUAUAUUAACAACGACAACGACAAAAGCCACCCAGACACCGUGACCGGCCGCGGCCACCUCCUGCUCCUGCUGCCACGCUGGAUCGCAACCCCUCCCACGAUCUCAUCUGUGUCUCCAGUACCAUGUGUGCCUGUUGCUGCCAUGUUUCCCACCAUGGUGAUACUGGACUAAACCUCUGAAACUGUUAGUCAGCCCCAACUAAAUGCUUUCUUUGGGACGGGUGGAGGACUGCAGAGGGGCUUCUUUGUACAAGUGAAGUGUGGGCCGGAGAUAUGCCUGGAUAACUCAGAACCUGAUGGCUGCUGACAGGAUCUAGAAAUCCACUGCCCAGAUGAGAGCAAGCAGGCUCCAGGUUACAUGGUUGGGAGGAGCAUGUCCUUCACCGGUCAUUUCCUCUCGCUCCCAUUGGUGGGAGGAAUACCCGAGACUGGCCCAUGUUGAGAGUGCACGAGGGUUUUGUACUUUGCUGGAGCUGGAGAAGAGUCAGACAUCUCUCUCUCUCUCCCUCUGAGGACCACGAACCCUUACAGAAGAGAGGGGUGGAAAGAAUGGAAGACCUGGAGGACAAAAGGUUGCAGGGUUGUAUGGGACCACCUUCGGAGCCAAACCACCGCCAUCUUCAGGAAGAGCUAUCUAUUGCUCCUGGGAGAACAGUCACCACCUCUAGAGGAAGAUCACGGAUGCUCCUUAAGCCGUCACACGUGGAAACCUCUACAUGAGCAGGAAGACAGAUGGACAGCUCCUAGUGCUCAUGAAGAUAAAGCAAUGGCAAAUUAUACAGCAAAUAUGGGAUUCAGAACAGGGUUAUCUCACUCGGGAGUAGCUGGCAUCAGAGAAAGCCGUUUGUACUUCACAGCAUGCCUUAUUCCAAGCCUGUGUUGUUGAGUAACAAGCAGAAGACUAAAGAAGAAGAAAGCCUUCAAAACCCAAGUCCCGCCGAGCCGAGAGGGGUGAAGGGAGCCACAGCACCCACUCUGCCAACAGAGGCCCUGUUCUCAGACAAGAUGGUCCUGAGAGAUAAGAUGCCAAAGCCCAGGCUUCAUCCUGGGCCUGCUGGCCCCAGGCAUCAGAAAUCCUUAAUGACUGCAGAAACAGUUGCCUGGUUCAGGAGGAAAUAUCUCUAAAGAGCGCCUCAGCAGGGGCCUAGGAAGGUGGACCACCCACUGCAGAGGAAGUAAGGAGAGACGAGGGGGAUAAGUUGGGGAAACUGAGACCCAGAAGGAAGCAGCAGCCGCAGCAUCCUGAUAGCAACCUGGCAGCCUACCUCCACUGAGACCCUAGUUGCUGUUCAUGUUGGCCUUGAUGGAGUUCUGGACAAGCAGCGCCAAGCUUCCCUCCUCUGGAGGGACCAGCACCUGGGAGGACCUGGCAGAAGACAGGAUGACACAGAGCCCAGACACAGCAGGAGCUCGGUGGACAAUACCACCAUGACCGCCAGGGGUGACCUGCCUGAGUGUUGAAAUAGGAGCGGCGGGGCUGCGUCCCGGCACCCGGCCGCCCGCAUGGCUAGGUUAUGCCCCGAAAUAAUUACACGGAAACUGUAUUCUUUCAAUUACUGCCUGGCCCGGCUAGUUCCAGUUUCUUAUUGGUUAGCUCUUACAUAUUGUUCUAACCCAUUUCUAAUAUUCUGUGUAGCCCACGAGCUGGCUUACCAGGGAGGAUCUUAACCUGUGUCUGUCUGGAGUGGGAGAACCAUGGCGACUCUCUGACUCAGCUUCUUUUUCCCAGCAUUCUCUUCUGUCUACUCCGCCUACCUAAUUUUCUAUCCUAUGAGGGCCGAGGAAGUUUCUUUAUUAUAAUUAACCAAUGUCCUUCCUCCAUCACCUGAGUCACACUAGCAGCCAGGCCUCCCUGGACCCUACCCUGUCUCCUGUGGUCAAGCAUCAGCCGUUUCCAAAACAGAGCUGGAAGAGGAGAAAAUGCACGGGAUGUUACACAGUCACAGGCAGGCGUGGUCGGAGGUGCUGUCUUCACAGCUGAACCACUGGUUCCGCAUGCUUUCCCCACAGUGGCUCUCUAGGAGACACAGUGACUGUUCCACAGGAAAAGACCAGUCCAGCCCCAGGACUCCAUCACCACCAAGAAGAGGACUUGUUGGUGCUGCCAGAACACAGUGUCUGAUGACAAGAAAAGGCUGCAGGACAGAGGACAGAGGCCCAAGCUGUGUCCAAGUCUGCCCUGUGUGGAGAGGAACACAGUCACGUCGGAUCAGAGCCAUUCUAUGAUUUCAUCCAGAUGCGAAUCCAUCUGUACAGACCUGUCUCCAGAUAAGACAGUCCGAGGUACGGGGGCGGGGGUGAGGCAUUCAAUGUGCCUUUUAGGGAGGAGGAGCGGAGCACAGGCUUGAGAAAAAGGUCAGCUGUCCACAUUGUCACAUAUGCCUUUGGAUGAUGGCACUGAUGCAGUUAGGGGAAAACUAUGCGGGAAACAAAAGCCCCUUCCGGCCCUUGUGGUACCAAGAGAUGGGGUCUAGGAGGCCUUCCAGGAAAGGGCGAGUUCUGUUUCCAAGGGAUGUCAUUAGGGGAGGGUCCUCUCCCAGAAGGCAUUCUGCUGAUCACGGUGUUCACACACACACACACACACACGCACGCACGCACGCACGCACACACGCACGCACGCACACACAUAUGCAUGCACGCACGCACACAUGCACACACAUGCACCCUUCCUUUUCCAACAAUCGUGAGAGGCAGCACCCCGUCUCUGUGUGCAGACUGAGCCUGACCUGGUCAAGUCUUGACCCAUACAUGCAGCAUAGCUGCCAAGCUGAGAAGCCAGGGCUGUGCCUGCAGAGGUAUCAUCGCCCCAGCUACUCAGGAGGCUAAGGCAGGAGGAUCCCAAACUCAGGGUCAACCUGAGGUACAGAAUGAGACAAAGGCUAGUCUUGGAAAUUUGGUGAGACCAUGUCUGAAAAUGAAAUACAAGCCAGGUCUGCAGUAGAGGCACAAAACACUAAUCCCAGCACUUGACAAGCAGAGGCAGGCGGAUCUCGUUUGAGGCCAGCCUGGUCUACAGAGCCAGUUCCAGGACAG